GACAAUUCUGACAUUUCGGA
rnacentral:miRNA from 1 species